GCUGGAGAUAUCGGAAGUGAGAAUGCUGACAUGAGUAACGAGAUGAGUGUGAGAAACACUCACGCCGAAAGUCCAAGGGUUCCUGCUUAAAGCUAAUCUGAGCAGGGUGAGCCGGCCCCUAAGCCGAGGCAGAGAUGCGUAGGUGAUGGGAACGAGGUUAAUAUUCCUCGGCCUGGAGAUGAGUGACGGAUUGUGAACUGUGUUCCUCCUUAAUGGAUUGGAGGGGCGCUGCAGCAGUCCCAGGAAAUAGCCUCUCCAUAUAGACCGUACCCCAAACCGACACAGGUGGAUGAGUAGAGUAUACUAAGGCGCUUGAGAGAACGAU
rnacentral:rRNA from 1 species